AUAUUCACCUGGCAGGGGAGAUACCAUGAUCACAAAGGUGGUUUUCUCAGGGCAAGGCUUAUCCAUUACACUCCAGAUGUGAUAACCUCUGCAGUUUUCCCAAAUGUGGAAAACUUGACUGCAUAAUUUUUGGUAAUGGGAGACUGUGUUAGUGUUUUCCCCUA